GUUGGGAAUUGGGAAAUACAUUACUUACUGCCCUUUCAACACCAUAAAAGACAAUACAUACAAUAUUAGAAUACAUGAUUUCCAAGUUCGAAGCAAAGGUGUUGGAUGUUCUGGGAACAAUAGAGAAAUGUGUUCAUCGGACGUUGUGAAGAAAGCAGAGACAGCAGACCUCGAAUGUACACACAGAAAGUAGAGCAGCUAUUCAUAUCAGGGGUGAAUUGUCAAAACGAAUUGACUGACCAAUUAUGGAAAAAAAUGCAGCAGUAAAC
rnacentral:misc_RNA from 1 species